CUUAGCCCAACCAGCGUUUAAGAAAAAGCACUGUUUGAGGAAACUAUAAUUGGGAAAAAGCUGCAUAUUUCAGAACGAUCAUCUGAUUCACAACACGACAGGCUCAACGUGAAUAGUAAGGCUGUAUCACGGUUAAAACCUCCUCCAGCAGCAAGCAGUGGUGCCCAUAAAUUGAUCACGUUAGGUGGCAGCUUAACACAGAGUCGAGCAGAGGAGCUAAAGUUGAAAAGACAGCCAGUUGCGUUUUCCAGUAACAGCAGUGAAGAGACAGUUUGUCAUGUGAGUGAAGUAGCGAAUGCAUCAAAGACUUCAGAUGGUAAAACUGAUGCUGAGUUGUUGAGGUGUCAGAAGCAUCUGGUGAAAGUUGACAGAACAUUCAUCACUCCGUGUACAGGGAUUGCCUCCACGUUUAAGCAACAAGGUCAUGAUCAACAGAACUUACACAGCGAGGAACUGCCCAACAACAAACGAAAACUAGUGACGAUUGAAAAAUAUGAAAGGGUGAUUUUAGACGAUGAGCAGGUGACUUCAGAGGAAGCUCGAAAAAAACACCGCAGUGCCAACCCAGCUAAGGUUCUUAGCGGUGAAAAGAAGCCUGUGUUAAAGAGGGUUGGAUCCCCAAGUUCUGAAUUAGAACAAAAACAUGCGAGGAUAUCCUGGCCAUGAACAGCAAUUAAACUUUACAGGUGUAUGAAAUAAUGAAUAUUUUGUUAGAGGUUUCCAACAGAUCAUUUCCCUGUAUGCUCUUAAAGCAAGCAGUCCACAGCAUGACACAAAUCGCAGUAGUCACCAAAAAUUAAUGUGAUCUUUCACACCUUUUGUUUAAAGGGAUAUUUUCCCCUAGAAUUUUAGAGUAUAUUAUGAUAGUAAGUGCAUAAAUAAUAACCUACAAAUUUAUGUAAUUACCCAUUCACGUUUGUCAUAAAACAACAGUGAAUUUUGAAAUCUUUUAUUUUGACUGCUGACAUGAUACCGCGCGAUUGUGCUGACACCCCGAAAAAGUUGCGAUUUUUCUGAUUUAUUUUGCACGUUACAGACUGAUGGCUAAUCACAAAAGUGCAAUUAUAUUUAAACCUAACUG